CCUACGGGAGGCAGCAGUGGGGAAUAUUGGACAAUGGACCAAAAGUCUGAUCCAGCAAUUCUGUGUGCACGAUGAAGUUUUUCGGAAUGUAAAGUGCUUUCAGUUGGGAAGAAGUCAGUGACGGUACCAACAGAAGAAGCGACGGCUAAAUACGUGCCAGCAGCCGCGGUAAU
rnacentral:rRNA from 1 species